AUCACAAGAAAGGGGAGUACAGUACAAUAAGCUUGUAAAAAUAUGAUCACAAAGAAAUUAAAAACUGGUGAGAAAAAUAAUCAGCAACACUUCUCUAACGUCAUCAUGUAAGGAAACUUGUAUAGAUAAUCUUAGCUGACAGCCAGCAUCCACUGCCAGAUGUUACUAAAGACCUUCAGCCCCACUGGCCCUCCUCAGAAUUGUCCAGCUGCUGAAAUUCUCAGGAAACGGGUUUAGAAAGAGGAGAAGGUGGCUUCUGCCAUAGAGUGAAGACUCAAGGAUGGUUUGCAGAUUUUGAAGCUAUGUAAGAGAUUCAAAAAUAUUUACUGAUCUUGAAGAGAAGAUCAAAGGUUGAAG